UACGUAGGGUGCAAGCGUUGUCCGGAAUUAUUGGGCGUAAAGAGCUCGUAGGCGGUCUGUCACGUCGGAUGUGAAAACUCGGGGCUCAACCCCGAGCCUGCAUUCGAUACGGGCAGACUUGAGUUCGGCAGGGGAGACUGGAAUUCCUGGUGUAGCGGUGAAAUGCGCAGAUAUCAGGAGGAACACCGGUGGCGAAGGCGGGUCUCUGGGCCGAUACUGACGUGAGGAGCGAAAGCGUGGGGAGCGAACAGG
rnacentral:rRNA from 1 species